GAGUUUGAUCAUGGCUCAGAUUGAACGCUGGCGGAAUGCUUUACACAUGCAAGUCGAGCGGCAGCGCGGGGCAACCUGGCGGCGAGCGGCGAACGGGUGAGUAAUGCAUCGGAACAUGUCCAUGUCGUGGGGGAUAGCCCGGCGAAAGCCGGAUUAAUACCGCAUGUGCCCGAGAGGGGAAAGUGGGGGACCGCAAGGCCUCACGCGAUUGGGUUGGCCGAUGUCCGAUUAGCUAGUUGGCGGGGUAAAGGCCCACCAAGGCGAUGAUCGGUAGCUGGUCUGAGAGGAUGAUCAGCCACACUGGGACUGAGACACGGCCCAGACUCCUACGGGAGGCAGCAGUGGGGAAUUUUGGACAAUGGGGGCAACCCUGAUCCAGCCAUUCCGCGUGAGUGAAGAAGGCCUCGGUUGUAAG
rnacentral:rRNA from 1 species